GAUGAACGCUAGCUACAGGCUUAACACAUGCAAGUCGAGGGGUAACGAGAGGAAAGCUUGCUUUCCUUGUCGACGACCGGCGCACGGGUGAGUAACGCGUAUCCAACCUGCCCCCAACUAGGGAAUAACCUUGCGAAAGUAAGACUAAUACCCUAUAAUUUCCUCAGAUGUCAUCUGACGAGGAAUAAAGAUUUAUCGGUUGUGGAUGGGGAUGCGUCUGAUUAGCUUGUUGGCGGGGUAACGGCCCACCAAGGCAACAAUCAGUAGGGGUUCUGGGAGGAAGGUCCCCCACAUGGGAAGUGAGACACGGUCCAAACUACUACGGGAGGCAGCAGUGAGGAAUAUUGGUCAAUGGGCGGAAGCCUGAACCAGCCAAGUAGCGUGCAGGAUGACGGCCCUAUGGGUUGUAAACUGCUUUUAUACAGGAAUAAAGUUAGCCACGUGUGGUUAUUUGUAGGUACUGUAUGAAUAAGGACCGGCUAAUUCCGUGCCAGACGCCGCCGUAA
rnacentral:rRNA from 1 species